rnacentral:rRNA from 1 species
GGAAGGGGUGUAUUUAUUAGAUAAAAAACCAAUGCCCUUCGGGGCUCCUUGGUGAUUCAUAAUAACUUAACGAAUCGCAUGGCCUUGCGCCGGCGAUGGUUCAUUCAAAUUUCUGCCCUAUCAACUUUCGAUGGUAGGAUAGUGGCCUACCAUGGUGGCAACGGGUAACGGGGAAUUAGGGUUCGAUUCCGGAGAGGGAGCCUGAGAAACGGCUACCACAUCCAAGGAAGGCAGCAGGCGCGCAAAUUACCCAAUCCCGAUCCGGGGAGGUAGUGACAAUAAAUACUGAUAUAGGGCUCUUUUGGGUCUUAUAAUUGGAAUGAGUACAAUCUAAAUCCCUUAACGAGGAACAAUUGGAGGGCAAGUCUGGUGCCAGCAGCCGCGGUAAUUCCAGCUCCAAUAGCGUAUAUUAAAGUUGUUGCAGUUAAAAAGCUCGUAGUUGAACCUUGGGCCCGUCCUGCCGGUCCGCCUCACCGCGAGUACUGGUCCGGAUGGGCCUUUCUUUCUGGGGAAUCCCAUGGCCUUCACUGGCUGUGGCGGGGAACCAGGACUUUU